rnacentral:misc_RNA from 1 species
UAGAAAAAGAUAAGUUACUCUUCAUUUUCCAAUGUUUUUACCUAAGGGGGUAAAAAGAAAUAAAAUUACCAAAAUUAUUUGAGCUUAGCCUACGGGGAAGAAGACCAUGUAAUGAGGUACGCACGCCUGCAUUAAUUAGAUGGCCCCAACUCUACUUCACUGGAACCAAACCAAGGGUGAGGUCCAAACCAACCUCAUCCCCAUUAUCACUUAGAUUAUUGAAUUUCAA